rnacentral:rRNA from 1 species
CAGGAUGAACGCUAGCGGCAGGCCUAACACAUGCAAGUCGAGGGGUAACAGGGAGCUUGCUCCGCUGACGACCGGCGCACGGGUGCGCAACGCGUAUGCAAUCUACCUCUUACUAAGGGAUAGCCCAGAGAAAUUUGGAUUAAUAUCUUAUGUGAUAUUAGACUGGCAUCGGUUUAAUAUUAAAGGUUACGGUAAGAGAUGAGCAUGCGUCUCAUUAGUUAGUUGGUAAGGUAACGGCUUACCAAGACUUCGAUGAGUAGGGGUCCUGAGAGGGAGAUCCCCCACACUGGUACUGAGACACGGACCAGACUCCUACGGGAGGCAGCAGUGAGGAAUAUUGGACAAUGGACGGAAGUCUGAUCCAGCCAUGCCGCGUGUAGGAAGACUGCCCUAUGGGUUGUAAACUACUUUUAUACAGGAAGAAUAAGAUCUACGUGUAGAUUGAUGACGGUACUGUAAGAAUAAGGACCGGCUAACUCCGUGCCAGCAGCCGCGGUAAUACGGAGGGUCCGAGCGUUAUCCGGAAUUAUUGGGUUUAAAGGGUCCGUAGGCGGGCUGUUAAGUCAGAGGUGAAAUGCUGCGGCUCAACCGUAUGCACUGCCUUUGAUACUGGCGGUCUUGAGUUAUAGUGAAGUGGCUAGAAUAAGUAGUGUAGCGGUGAAAUGCAUAGAUAUUACUUAGAAUACCGAUUGCGAAGGCAGGUCACUAACUAUACACUGACGCUGAUGGACGAAAGCGUGGGUAGCGAACAGGAUUAGAUACCCUGGUAGUCCACGCCGUAAACGAUGGAUACUAGCUGUUCGGUUUUCGGACUGAGCGGCCAAGCGAAAGUGAUAAGUAUCCCACCU